UGUGGCAAGCUCUGGCGCGGGCUGGUACCCAUUCUUCCGGUCAAAUGGGGUUUUUGUCAAUAUACUACUAAUAGUAGUAUAUACCAAUCGGGGCGUCCGGGGUGUAGUGGACAUAAGAUCUCGAUUUCGAUUUCGAUUUCGAUUUCGAUCAAGGUCGUCCCAGCCUUACAUGCAAAUGUUAAUCAAAGGACCAGGAGGCGAGUUAUAUUCGCGUUAUUCGCGUUAGACCAACCAUUUUGGCCUGAUGGCUGAGGCGUGUCACUGUCCACCGUUCUUGGGUGGACUGACUGCUCUUGCUGGAGGGCGACUGUCAGCAAAUUAUGGGUGAUUGGCUCAAAAGGUGUGAGUUGUGAGCCUAAUGGAAUUAGUAGUGGUGGGUAUGGAGGAAAGAAAUGGAGGCAGUGAGAGUCAGUCGCAAGUUUCGUGGAGGAGCAAGGAGAAGCGAGUAUAUUCCCGAGUCUAAACUAAACUUCCGAAAAAAAAAAAAGAAAGAAAGAAAGAAAGAAAGAAAAAUUCAAAAUUCAGGAUUUCAGAAUAUGGAAGGCGAAGAAUGAAAAUAUCAUAUCGUGGAAUGCUCAGGUGAUAUGGCAGGAAGUGCAUUGGUAAAAGUAGGAUCGCUAUGCCAUGGAAAUACUAUUGCAAAAAAACACUGGCGUAACUUAGAACGCGGGGUAUAUGAUGAACUAUCACCGAACGAAGGGGAAAGUUAGAGACGACGCACAUGUAAAGAACUUAUUAGAGUGCUUAAAAAUGUCAAUGGGGAAGCACUAUAACAAAACAGGAUAUAUCCCUUGGAGGUGAACAGGUACUGAACAGCAAAUCUCAAGUCCAUCUAGGAAAUAUAGAGAAUUAGAAGAAAAAGGAUAAAUAUAUAGAAUGCCCAAACACCUGGAACAUGAAAAGAAAGAAAUAUUAAAACUUAUAGCCAUAAAAUCCAUCUAAUGCCCGAAACAGAACCCCUCCACAGGCCUCUAAAAAUUUUGAAGAUCAUCACAACCAGCCACAACCACCACAUAGCCCCAACAAGUACCCAUUCUAACAUGACAAACCCGACACGGCUUAUCCAUCGAAACCUGCGUUUUCGUUUCCUCAAGCCCUUAUCGAGCGAGUCGUUGAGCUGCUUCAAUGCCAAAGUAUUCGUCGUCGCGAGCUCGCUAGUUAGUUUGUCAGCUUCUGAUGUGAGCUCGCGGAUGCGCGGGUUAAGUGUGGAUGUGACUAAUGAGUCUAAAUCAUCCAAUCGCGACUUCAAAGACGGUGAGGUUGAUGACGAGAAUUUCGACAUAGCAUGCUGAACUUGGCAAACUUCGCGGUCGAACUUGAACAUCAGGCUCCGGGCUGCAGUUGUUACUUCCUCAGACCGCGGGACGCGAGGUACAUUGCCACCUAACCCGUGUUCGGUGCUAAAUACAAGGACAGGAGGGGAAUCCCGUAUCAUGUCGGCUUGGCGGCAUAUUUCCAGUGCCUUAAUUCCCGACGAGAGCAAAUGAGCUCUUACUCGUGCAAUUUCACGUCUAUCGAUACGAUACGGGCCAUCAAUACUACGGGAGAUGCUCCAGCUUCUUGUGGACACAGACAUUGUAGGACGGAGUUGGCCGCCAGUGGGUGUGACGGUUAAAUUGGUAAGGCCUGUGACUGGAAGCUGAUCUCGACUGACUUGGAGGGAAAGGUGGUUAUUGUUAUUUUUAUUUGAUCCCACAGAGCCAACGAAGCUAUUGCGGCCCUCUCUAAAGGAACUAUUUCCCACAUCGCAGCAGGGAGUAAAUGGGUUGAGCAGGUUGUCGUUGUGAGAGACAUUGGCUGAUUCGUCCUCGAGUGGCUGUGACUUAAUAUCAGAUUGCGCUGAGAUGUCGACUUCACAUAAUGGCUGUGAUUCGCCUUGGUCAUCGUGCUUGGGAGGAGAGGCAAAGACAGGCAGGUUUGGCACAUGGUAUUUGGGUAAAUCCUUUUUGGAAUUCAUCCGUGAUAAACCGGGACUUUCGGAU
rnacentral:sRNA from 1 species